rnacentral:rRNA from 1 species
UACGGGGGGGGCAAGCGUUGUUCGGAAUUACUGGGCGUAAAGGGCUCGUAGGCGGCCAACUAAGUCGGAUGUGAAAUCCCCAGGCUUAACCUGGGAACUGCAUCCGAUACUGGAUGGCUUGAAUUCGGGAGAGGGAUGCAGAAUUCCAGGUGUAGCGGUGAAAUGCGUAGAUAUCUGGAGGAAUACCGGUGGCGAAGGCGGCAUCCUGGACCGAUAUUGACGCUGAUGAGCGAAAGCUAGGGGAGCAAACGGG